rnacentral:rRNA from 1 species
GUGGGGAAUAUUGCACAAUGGGGGAAACCCUGAUGCAGCAACGCCGCGUGGAGGAUGACACAUUUCGGUGCGUAAACUCCUUUUAUAUAGGAAGAUAAUGACGGUACUAUAUGAAUAAGCACCGGCUAACUCCGUGCCAGCAGCCGCGGUAAUACGGAGGGUGCAAGCGUUACUCGGAAUCACUGGGCGUAAAGAGCGUGUAGGCGGAUAUAUAAGUCAGAAGUGAAAUCCAAUAGCUUAACUAUUGAACUGCUUUUGAAACUGUAUAUCUAGAAUGUGGGAGAGGUAGAUGGAAUUUCUGGUGUAGGGGUAAAAUCCGUAGAGAUCAGAAGGAAUACCGAUUGCGAAGGCGAUCUACUGGAACAUUAUUGACGCUGAGACGCGAAAGCGUGGGGAGCAAACAGGAUUAGAAACCCGAGUAGUCC